CGAUCUGCUGCGGGCAGAUGAAGUGGAUAUGCGCGUCAAAGCCCCCCGCCGUCAGGAUUUUUCCUUCCCCGGCAAUGGCUUCCGUGCCGGGGCCGAUGAUGAUGUCGACCCCGGGCUGGGUAUCGGGAUUGCCGGCCUUGCCGAUCUUGGCGAUGCGCCCGUCGCGCAGCCCCACAUCGGCCUUGUAGAUGCCCGAGUGGUCGACGAUCAGCGCAUUGGUGAUGACCGUGUCAACCGCGCCCUCGGCCCGGCUGUAUUGCGACUGGCCCAUGCCGUCGCG
rnacentral:sRNA from 1 species